rnacentral:rRNA from 1 species
AGUGAACGCUGGCGGUAUGCCUAACACAUGCAAGUCGAACGGCAGCACAGUAAUAGCUUGCUCUUACGGGUGGCGAGUGGCGGACGGGUGAGGAAUACAUCGGAAUCUACUUUUUCGUGGGGGAUAACGUAGGGAAACUUACGCUAAUACCGCAUACGACCUACGGGUGAAAGCAGGGGAUCUUCGGACCUUGCGCGAUUGAAUGAGCCGAUGUCGGAUUAGCUAGUUGGCGGGGUAAAGGCCCACCAAGGCGACGAUCCGUAGCUGGUCUGAGAGGAUGGUCAGCCACACUGGAACUGAGACACGGUCCAGACUCCUACGGGAGGCAGCAGUGGGGAAUAUUGGACAAUGGGCGCAAGCCUGAUCCAGCCAUACCGCGUGGGUGAAGAAGGCCUUCGGGUUGUAAAGCCCUUUUGUUGGGAAAGAAAAGCAGCAGGUUAAUACCCCGCUGUUCUGACGGUACCCAAAGAAUAAGCACCGGCUAACUUCGUG